UACUGCAUUCGGAACUGAUUGGGUACUCUGAGCUCGCCAUCAGUUCCUGAUGCAAUGCC
rnacentral:pre_miRNA from 1 species